rnacentral:lncRNA from 1 species
CAGUCUCAGGUAGUUCUUUGUAGCAAUGUGAAAAUGGACUAAUACACUACUUUAAAAUCUUUUUCAAGUAAUUCCAAAAUCUCUAUUAUCUUGGUAUUGGCAUCUACUGAUUGUCUUUUUUUCACUCAGUUGAGAUCUUCCUGGUUCUUGGUAUACUAACUGAUAUUCUACUGAAAUUUCAUAUUGUUAUAAGACUCUGACUCUUAUUUAAACCUUUUGUUUUUGCUGACUUUCUCUGAUGCUGCUCCAGCCUCAUUACAAUAGAGACAGAAGUCCAGGUUCUCCACUCGGCAUUUACUCAUCCACCAAGGGUGGGCGGGGCUCCUUGUUACCGCUGGGUUGGGACUUCCAGUUCCCCAUGUGGUCUCUACUGCUGCCACAAGUGCAGGUGGCCUUGUUACCACUUGGCCUCAGGGUGAUAGUCUGGACUCUCCAUCAGGUUUGCUCCAACAUCAGGCUGGGUGAAGAAGGAAAUCCAGGAUUCCCACAUGGUCUCCGGACACCACAGAGAAUGAAGUUCAUUCCUGGCCAGCAGGGAUGAAAAUCAUGGCUCCCUAUGUGGUCAUCUCUGACAUCACCCCAGCAAGGGUGGGAGUUGGAGCAUUUUCAGACAGAAAGGGUGUAAGUCUAGGCUCCCCACUCAGCUCUUCCUGGCAAGGGGAGGGGUGGGACACAGUUUCUUCCAUGGUGUUUGGCUAGAGUGGACAGUUGAUGGCUUACAAAUCUUCUUUUGUGUUAAGCUCUCUCCUUCUUGAGCCUUUGGCUAGGGAGAGAUCAGGCUUUUACUGGGCUUCUUUCUGGUCUGUGCCCACUGGCAUUUCCUGGUUGCCAGUGUUUUCAGCUCCAAGUCUGGAUUACUUCAGGCAACAGGAAAAUCCAGGGAACUCAUCAUCACGUUGUUGUUUCUUGAGUCCCAAUAUCCUUAGCCACUCUGCCUUUUUCUUUUCACCUUUCAGAGUCUUCUUAGGUCUGUUUUAUAUAUAAUGGCCAGUGUUUUUUUUGUUUUGUUUUUCUCAGAUACUGUUAUUUUAUUUCAGAAAUAAGUAGUAACACACAUAGACACAUUUCUCUUUCUGCCUGCCCAGAAAACCACUACCCCAAAGUAAGUUUCAAUCUUUCCCAUGUGUGUUUUCACACUUUUGUUAUAAACAUCAUAAUAUAUAUACAUAAGUGUGCAUUGAACACUUUGUUUUUACAUUUCCUUGAAAUACACUUAAGAAUUCUGUCUUUCUUAAUUGCUUACAGCACAAAGACCAGGUCUUCACGAGUAAGCUGAAAUACAGCAUUGACACUGAUAUUAGGCUAAUUUAUGCCCACAAAAUGCUUUGGCCUAAAAUAUUCUGAGAAGCAAGGAGAACAUCUGUCUUACUUCAAAAGAGCUGUUUAUAAGCACAAUCUCCCACUUACUUGCUUGAUAGGGUCUUGGCUUAAGCCCUAGAAAGGAUCAAACAUAUUAUCCAUACCCUCUAUCAGAGUUUACAUCUUUCAAGAGAGUCUUGAGUCAGUAUUAAGAUCUUCUGGGAUCUCAGAUCUUGGCUUCCUUUUAUCUCCUCUCCCCUACAACCCCAAGAACAGUCCCUUAAACCAACUUGGUGCUUCCUUUCUGGGCUUCCUGCAAUAGACAUUUUCAAGGGUUGUUUGUGGCCGCCGUGCUUGCUGAGGCCUUUCAGGCAGGCAAGGAAGACACAACCUUGGAAUAUGUAUCAAUCCUGUACAAGAUGAAUCGCUGUCCUUCUUGGGUAAUUAACUUCCUGCCAAGCAGCUGUUUGGUCUCCUCAAGGGAUAAUACCAUGGUGGAGCCUCAGAGUCAAUCUCCAUCGCUGGCAGGUAGGAUACUCAGCAGCAACAAGAUCUAGAGGAGUCUCGGUGACAGGUGAGCCAUGCUACUGUAUAACGGCCAGUGUUUUAGUUGCACUUACUGGGAGCAGUAGGGAAAAGUACAUCUCCCUCUUUCCAGAAGCAGAAGUUUCUCAUUAAAAUUUUAAACAAUGAUAUCUACUAAAUGACAUUUUAAAAUAAAUAAGAUAAACUUUAGUAUAUAAAUCUGAUGGAAUGCGCAGUUGUUUUAAGAUGAGCAAUGCUAUUGUAGUGACACAGAAUGACUGCCAAAAUAUAGUAAGGGAUAAAAGCAAGGUAUAAAUGCUAUUAAUGCAAAAGCAGAAAACAAAGGAAUAAAUAUAUGUAUAUGCCAGUGCAUGCACCAAAUAUCUCUGGAACAUCAUAUAAGAAAUUUUUAAUAGAGAUGCCUUUGGGGAGGAAAAAUGGAAGACUAGGGAAAAGGCCAUAGGGUGAGAAGAAAGGGACUAAGUUUUUACAGAUGUUACCUUUCCAAAAGAAUUACUAAGGAAGGUUGCUAAAUAACUCAUUUAAUCUUGAAUAAUAGGCAGGCAAAACAUGAAAAUGCUGUGUAUGACUAAUAAAGAUGAAAUCUGUUUAAUUAAAAUGAGAAAACACUACAUAAAUAGCAAAAGAAUAGUUCAGUGAGUGACAGCAGAACAAUAGACUCGUUCUAGGAAUUAGAAUACAACCUAGUACAGAUGAACUAAAUAACUACUUUUAAAAUGUAUUUUAGAUUCUGAUAUCAUGGUGAACAAGGCACCUGAAUAAAGCUUCCCACUGAAAAUCAGCAGAAAAGCAGACACAGCAACCUGGAUCACUCCAUCUCAGGCCAUAGGUCCUCAGGGAAUGACCAAAGUCAAGGAGCUUCUAGAUUCUAAGGCAAGAAUCAGACAGGAGGAUGAAGGGAACUUCAGGGGAAGGUUAUGAUGUCUCCAACCAGACCGAAGAUCAGAGAAAAUCUCCAAAAGACAUGUGAAUGGAUGUCUUAACUUUUAGAACCUUAAGUAAGUAAUUUGUAUGGCAAGCACCCAGCAGAGGAACCAAAGUUAGUCUUUCCAAAGCUGUGUCUCUCUACCAAGCAAGACCUCACUCCUUCCCAAAUCAAUUAA